UAUUUAUAUUCCCUAUCGAACUUUACAACAAUUGACAUAAUGUCUAACUUAGUUUCCAUCUCUCGAGGGUAAAACAUGUCACAAAACUCGUACAACUAUUGCGCAUAUAAUUGUAGAGAAAAUAAAAUCUAUGCCAACCAUUCAAUAAUUAAAAACAUGUUUUAACGUCAAAAUAAAUAAAAUUCAAAAUUAAAGGUUCAUAAUACAAGAUUCAUUGCAAAUCUUAGCACAAAAUAAUUUUGCUUAGCAUAACGGCGGAAUUAAAGAAAGAAAAGAUUGAAGAUAUCACCAGAAAUGGAGAGAAUGUGAUUAAUAUCCAAAUUCCUCCCGUCCGCUUUUGCUUCUGCGUGUAUUUAUAUGUAUUCCUUGGCUGCCUUUUGUCUUCAAUUUCUGGCCUUCAGUUGCGUGUAUAUAUGUGUCCAGCCACCUUUUGCAUGAAUAUAUGUCUCUCAAUUCCUAUUGCAACUCGUGUGUACAUGGAUAUACAUUUAAUAGCAGCUGUCUAUGUAUUUGUUCCAGCAACAACAGCCUUUUAUCCUCCAAAAUCUGUCCCCCAUUUCUGUCCGUGUAUGUUUGUAUAUAUAUCUAGUGGUGGGCGUGGGUUGAGUUGGGUCGGUUUUCGCCCCAACACAAACCCAACCCACCGUUGUCGGCUUGAUCUAAAAUCAAACCAACCCAACCCAACCCAUAUAAAUGUUUCAACCCAACCCAAUCAAGUUUCGAUCAGGUUGGGUUGGGUCGGUAGGUUUGGGAAAAACUUGAUUCACUUAAAUUAAAGAGCUACCAUCCAUUGUAAAUUAUGUAGGCAUUGCCAUCGAUUGAAUCAGAAGAGAUGCCAAAAGUGGAACAUAUGAAUGAAACACAUAUGAUCAAAUCCAAUUAUAAAGAAUACUUCAUCCUACAUAUUAAUGAAACACAUUUUGCUUCACAGCAAGUGAAACAUUUCAUCAGAUAUACAAUAAUCUAUAGCACAGGAAUGGGGAUUACUUACAUUUUUUGUCCUGCAAAAGAUCGAUUCUCUCUAGACAAUCAGAUUCAACACAGCAUCCAUGCAACCAAGUGAACCUUUAACCUAAACAAAAAAAUGAAUACUACAAUAAAUAAAUAAAAUAAAUAGAAAACAUAGAAUUGAAACAGCAUUCAAAUUGCUUGAAUUAUAAGAUUUUCACCCCUUCUACAUUUCCUUAAUUUUCAAACAAACUGAACUCUGUUUUAGUAUAGCAAGACACCAUUACACAAUUGUAAUUUCCUGCCACUUCAAAGGAGAAAACUCUUGAAGUAACAACACAGCAGAAAAUUCAAUUGAACCUUGAAGAAACUCUUGAAGUCUAGAGUCAAUUUCAGAUCCAAAAAAAAUGCAUAAACGAGGCUGAAAGACGAGGAUGGCCUUACAGUAAGCAACGCAAGAUAGAGUCUCAAAUGGGGUGUACCAUGUAGGAGAAAAGAAAGCCGAAACAUCUUUGCGAGCAAGACACCUUCGUUUUUCCACAGUCUUCGAAGUGUUGCUUGAUUUUCAUGAGUUGUUUAAUUUUUGCAUCAUUUUGUAGCAUAUGAAUCUAGCAUUUGAGAGGAGAUUAAGAGAAAAUUGGGAGACAGAGAGAUUAGGGCUUCAUAUCGUGGCUGGGAGUGAAGAAGCAUCAUUUCGUAGCAUAUGAAUCUAGCAUUUGAGAGGAGAUUGAGAGAAAAUUGGAGGACAGAGAGAUUAGGGCUUCAUAUCGUGGCUGGGAGUGAAGAAGCAUCAUUUCGUAGCAUAUGAAUCUAGCAUUUGAGAGGAGAUUGAGAGAAAAUUGGAGGACAGAGAGAUUAGGGCN
rnacentral:lncRNA from 1 species